GUGCCGCUUCAAUUUUUCCUUAAUCUUUCUUUAUUAUUUAUUUUUUUAUAACAAAACCUUUUGUUUUUAAAAAAAACCUUAAGUUCUUAACCUUCUCUGCUAGGGUUUCGCCCAAACCUCAUGCUGCCGCUGAACCAUCUCCACUUCUGGUGGCUUACAGCGCGCAUGCAGGCCUGGUGUUGUCAGAGGCGUGGAGGAGGUCGGUGGCAACGUUGCAGCGGAGAAGGUGCUGACACCACGUGGGGAGCGGCGCACUAGGGCUUCUGCUGCUGAAAUUUGUUUAGACUUUGGGCCUAUCGGGCUAUUAGGUUUUUUGUUUGUUUGGGUCGUGUUGGGCUUGGUUUGGGUAAUUUGGAUUUUGGACUAUUUGGGCUGUAAAUUUAAAUUGGACAUUUUAUUAUUAUUGUUGUUAUUUUUUUGUCUGAUUUGGGCUUAUUGGGCCCGGUCAAA